rnacentral:rRNA from 1 species
CGGAGGGUCCAAGCGUUGUCCGGAAUCACUGGGUGUAAAGGGUGCGUAGGCGGGCUUGUAAGUCAGAGGUGAAAGCCCACGGCUUAACCGUGGAAUUGCCUUUGAUACUGCAGGUCUUGAGUCCUGGAGAGGCUGCCGGAAUUCGUGGUGUAGCGGUGAAAUGCGUAGAUAUCACGAGGAACACCGGAUGCGUAGGCGGGCAGCUGGACAGGUACUGACGCUGAGGCACGAAAGCGUGGGGGAGCGAACAGGAUU